AGAAAAGUCUGGGAUCAGAAAAAACUGCUAAUUUUUUCGCCCAUGGUUCAAAUCCAUGGUUUUCUU
rnacentral:tRNA from 1 species